UACGGAGGAUGCGAGCGUUAUCCGGAUUUAUUGGGUUUAAAGGGUGCGUAGGCGGACGCUUAAGUCAGCGGUAAAAUUGCGGGGCUCAACCCCGUCGAGCCGUUGAAACUGGGUGCCUUGAGUGGGCGAGAAGUACGCGGAAUGCGUGGUGUAGCGGUGAAAUGCAUAGAUAUCACGCAGAACUCCGAUUGCGAAGGCAGCGUACCGGCGCCCUACUGACGCUGAAGCACGAAGGCGUGGGUAUCGAACAGG
rnacentral:rRNA from 1 species